UCAGGCUGUCUUACACGUGGCUUAUUGGUCCCCUGGGCUAGCCUAUGUAAAGCCAAGGACUUAAGCAAGAGAAAGCAACGUGCUGGUGAUGAAGAAGAGACUGAAACCAAGAAAUGGGUGCCAACAGGAGGCAGUGUGGCUCUCCUUGCCUCAGAGGUCCCAAGUCACUCUGCUUCUUUUUCUCAUUGUCUCUAGUUAAUGUUGACUCUCUGCGGACCAGCUGUGUGAGCUUGACAGCAGCUGAGGCUGCUUGUUGUAUCGCCCCUUCUAUGAGGAUAGAGUUUUGGCUGGACGUGAGGCCACCUGGCUAAACGCCACCUUCCAAGCUUCCCUUCUGCUAACUGUAGUCAUUUAUUAGGCUCCGCCCACUGCGAUACAGACAGAAGUGAUAUGCACAACUUCCAGGGUAUGCUCUUAAAUGGAAAGGAGUGAGCGUCUCUCUCCUUCCUUUUCCCGCCUUACUGCCUGCACGUGGAUGAAGAUGGCGGGACCUGAAGCCGUCGUCUCUGACCUGGAGAUGGAAGCAGCCAGGAGAGGAUGUUGGAGCCAUAAGAACUUACAGCAAGACAGUAGCAAAACGAAACAACUCAAAGGCAAAUUUUAACAGCUGAAAGGGAUUUCUUCUUCUACUGGGAAUAAAGCCCAUAAAUCAGACCGUACCUUCUUCAAGCUGAAAGCCGAGUGGACUUGCAUCACCUUACAAAGCAGUUUCCUUGAAAACUUUUUGACAAAAGACUAGGAAAUCCAUGCUCUAAGGCCUCAGUUUUGAAGAUAAAUCUGGGAGAGGAAGGCUGGCGUCAGGAUGUCACCAUUCCUUGGCCAACA